ACGGGAGGCAGCAGUGGGGAAUAUUGCACAAUGGGGGAAACCCUGAUGCAGCGACGCCGCGUGAGUGAAGAAGUAUUUCGGUAUGUAAAGCUCUAUCAGUGGGGAAGGAAACAAUGACGGUACCUAACUAAGAAGCCCCGGCUAACUACGUGCCAGCAGCCGCGGUAAUACGUAGGGGGCAAGCGUUAUCCGGAUUUACUGGGUGUAAAGGGAGCGUAGACGGCGAGGCAAGUCUGAAGUGAAAGCCCGGGGCUCAACUCCGGGACUGCUUUGGAAACUGUUUUGCUAGAGUGCAGGAGAGGUAAGUGGAAUUCCUAGUGUAGCGGUGAAAUGCGUAGAUAUUAGGAGGAACACCAGUGGCGAAGGCGGCUUACUGGACGACAACUGACGCUGAGGCUCGAAAGCGUGGGGAGCAAACAGGAUUAGAUACCCUGGUA
rnacentral:rRNA from 1 species